GGCCCAUGUUCUCUGCAGAUGCCGGGGGACUCUUCUCCUGUGUGGAAGCUGAUGCACCUACGAGUUAGAGCAUGUUCAAGAUGAGGAAAUUCAACAUCUAUAACAUCCUGGAUAUUUCUUUUCACAAUAAAAGGUAGAAGGCUGUUCACCUUCUGCUGGACGAUUCGGGUGAAGAGUUGCAAAACACGGCUUCGUACAAAGGAAUUGACAUCAUGGCCAUGGGCUUGCAGGGUGUCCAAGAACUGGUCUCUGGUGUCUCGGGCUGCUUCCUCCAGCUGAUCACCAUUCAGAACCUGCAGUAUCAUCUCUGCCAUGGCUGCGAGCACAGCAUUGCGCAUCAUGUAAUUCUGAGAGAGAAAUGAAGUUGGUAUAAGCCUCUGCAUCACUACUCACUUUCCCUUUCCUAAUUCUUAAGCCUGUCCAGGCACUCAGAAGGGGCAAGGCCCUUUAGUCAAGGUUAAACUUGCUUGUCUUAGCUAUAACUUUCCCUGGAAAAAGCUGAAUCCCAGAGGAGCUUUGUUUGCUCAAAGAAGAAUGUAGAGAUAAAAUAAACAAGAGCCAAAAACCAUUCCCCCCCCUAAGGUUCAUCCAGGUAAUCAUGGUGGUAGCCAAAUAUGAAAUUGAAUCUACCCACCAAUAUACAUUUGAAAAGCAUUAAUGACUACCUUUCACCACCUUUGAUCCUUACUAAUAAAUACGCCCUUUCCUCCCACUCCCCUAUUUUACUGACAGAAAAGGAAACACAGAGAAAUAGAAAUCAGUCCUAUAGUGCCAGCAAGUCCAUUACAGAAUCUGGUAGAGAAGAGGGUUUAGGGUUAUUUUCUAGGCCAAGAGCCAGAGAAGGGGGUCUUGCACAAGAAGUUAACAAUAAAUUAGAUGAACAAGUGGGCCGUCUUUGUCCUUGAUAUUAUUCACCUAGGAGUGCCCUGCAUUAGUUUGGGAAAUGACCAGGUUGGCAUUCAGGGACAGAAGAGAAUUGAGCCAGGCUGGUAUGGCUCACUGGUUGAAUGUCGACCUAUGAACCAGAGGUCAUGAUUUGAUGCCUAAUUUUGGGCUCAACCCCCUAGUACAGGAGGCAGACAAUCAAUGAUUCUCUCUCGCCAUUGAUGUUUUUUCUCUCUCCCUCCCCUUCCUCUCUGAAAUCAAUUAAAAAAAUAUAUAUAUA